AGUGAACGCUGGCGGCAUGCCUAACACAUGCAAGUCGAACGGCAGCACAGUAAGAGCUUGCUCUUACGGGUGGCGAGUGUCGGACGGGUGAGGAAUACAUCGGAUUCUUCUUUUUCGUGGGGGCUAACGUCGGGAAACUUCCGCUAAUACCGCAUAUGUCCUACGUGUGAAAGCCGGGGUUCUUCGGACCUUGCGCGAUUGUAUGAGCCGAUGUCGGAGUAGCUAGUUGGCGGGGUAAAGGCCCACCAAGGCCACGAUCCGUAGCGGGUCUGAGAGGAUGAACAGACACACUGGAAGUGAGAAACGGUCCAGACUCCGACGGGAGGAAGCAGUGGGGAAUAUUAGGCAAGGGGGGAAAGCCGGAUACAGCAAUACCGCGUGAGGGAAGAAGGAGUUCGGGUGGGAAAGCGCUGUUGGUGGGAAAGAAAAGAAGCAGGUUUAUACGGGGAGAUAAUGACGGUACCGAAAGAAUAAGCACCGGCUAACUUCGUG
rnacentral:rRNA from 1 species